rnacentral:sRNA from 1 species
GGAUACCUUGGAUUGAAAACGAAUUCAACAUUUUCUUUAUUAAAGAAAAAAUCAACAAAGCCAGCACCAGA